CUUCCCUCUGGAAAGAAGGCUCAUUCGCCCUGUCUUCCAAGGAAACAAAAUUCAUAGCUUGGCGUGAAGUACAAGAGCCAGGAGAAAUCCGCACGUCCACUCCACAUCUGCAGAUGCCAAUGGUUUACAGGAGCCUCAAAUACAGAAAAGGGAUGUUACAAUAUGGAUGUGGUCUUUAAAGGCGCAGGAGGCUUUUACCCUGGAAGCUAGGGAUCGAAUCUGAGAAUGUCUUUCUAUUGGAUGACGACACAACCUAUAAGGGAGAAGUUGGUUUCGAGACUCAUCUCUUCUAAAGUCUGGACCCGCCCCUGCGUUGCCUAGCAGCCACAUCACGUCUCGUAACUACCCCUCUCCUCUGCAAGAACACGUCAGACUGCAUCACGUAUUCAAUUAUAAAGAAGAUUCGCCAAGGGAGAUUAUCGUAAUUUUGUAAAGGGGUGGC